CCUACGGGCGGCAGCAGUGAGGAAUAUUGGUCAAUGGACGCAAGUCUGAACCAGCCAUGCUGCGUGCAGGAAGACGGCCCUAUGAGUUGUAAACUGCUUUUGUACGAGGGUAAACGCAUAUAAGCGUAUCUGUCUGAAAGUACCGUACGAAUAAGGAUAGGCUAACUCCGUGCCAGCAGCCGCGGUAAUACGGAGGGUUCAAGGGUUAUCCGGAUUUAUUGGGUUUAGAGGGUGCGUAGGCGGUCGGAUAAGUUAGAGGUGAAAUCCCGAGGCUCAACUUCGGAAUUGCCUUUGAUACUGUUCGGCUUGAGAGUAGUUGAGGUAGGCGGAAUGUAUGGUGUAGCGGUGAAAUGCUUAGAGAUCAUACAGAACACCGAUUGCGAAGGCAGCUUACCAAGCUACUUCUGACGUUGAGGCACGAAAGCGUGGGGAGCAAACAGGAUUAGAUACCCCUGUAGUC
rnacentral:rRNA from 1 species